GGUGAUGUUGACACUGCGGACAUUUUGUGAGAUUUAUUUGAAGGACCGCACAAUAAAAGUUGUAUCUUUGGAUGAGACUACUGUUGAACAUCUUCAUACAGACGUUGUAAACGUCAUUCAAACUCUAAGUAUGUGGUCAAUCAAAAGAAAAUAUCAUGGAAUGAAUAUUCGUAUGCAGCCAAGAGUCCAGUACAGUAAGAAACAUCCACAGCACAUGAGGUGAAAAUGAGUUUAUUGAUGCCGCUUUACAGUAUGUACCAAGGCUUCACGGGGGAAGUGGACAACAUUCUCGCAGUGCAACAUUUUAUCUUUUGACUCUAUAAAAUAUACAAAACAGUUAACAGCUUGAAUGGCAACACCACGGUAAAGUAUUUCAGUGGGCCCGGGAACGCACACAGACACACAACACCCGCACUCUCACAACAUUCAUAGUCACGUGGAACCAUAUUCAAACCAGAGUUGUGUUUAGUAGGCACCCGUUGGGUGAGCCAAGACAGACGAGAUUUAGAAUGACUGUAACAUCACUGGAAUCAUUACAGUAACGGGGCCCUGUUCUGAUUGGACGACAGAUCAGGGCUCCGCCCACUCAGGCACGAUUGGAAUAGCAGUAGAAACAGCAGCUCUGCCCCGGAUUCAAAACAAGUCGCCUUUGCGUAUCUUAUUCAGCAAAUAAGAUGUCGCUAUUCUACUUAGUAGAAAAAAAUGUGUAUAAUAUAAAAUGUUACGGUGGUCUGAUUUUCAUUGUUUAAAAAAAUAAGUAAAUGCAGUUAAUAGGCAGAUGUAUAAAACUUUUUUAUACUCAUAAAACAUUGUCAACCUUUGAAGCGUUAAAGACCUUUUUUAUAGUGCUUUGAGAUCACCUGUUCAGCACCUUGCUGUAGGGGACCAGCAGAAGUGUUUUUGUUUUAAAGGUUGGGUAUGGAAUUCUCUUUUUUUGGCCUUUUUUGUAAAAAUUACUUGAAAUCCUUAUCAUAACCCACUUACAGCCACUGAGUUAGAAGUACUGCCAUGAAAAUUAAACAAGUCAAUCAUCUGUGGAACGGGCAGGGCUCGAAAAACUCCAGCCAAUGAUUCCCAGACCCACCGAGUGUCAUUGGACACUAAGUAGUAAGUACGUCAAUCAAACGGUCGUACUGCACUCCCCCUUCCCCGCUCGACCCCUUCGGACACGUACUCAAAGCUCGUGACCCAGAGCAAGCUUCUGUUUGUUGUUAUCCUGCGGUAGCUACUGGAGCUAGCUAAUGGCUCGUACUCGCGCAUCUGGUUUCGCUCGUGAAUGAUUGCGCGUCCAUGUACUUGGAAUGAGUGGAGUCAGAGUCACCGUUGAAGGAGAGGGGGUAGGACCAUUUGAGUUGUGGGUUUUCAAAAUCUGCUGGCGUUUCGCAAAUCCCAUACCCAACCUUUAAAUACAGAUUACAUUUCGUGGUGAAACCUGCCGAUUAUCGGCAAAAGCACAACGUGACUUUGAAUCAGAACGAUAUCAUCUCGAUAUUUAGUGGUCAAAUAACAUAGGGGCUUACUUUCGGUCACAAAUUAACAAUGUGUUUAUUUUUCUAUCCCCCUAUCUCACAGUUGAAAUGGUUUGAUUCGAGGGGGUCCGCGAGAAAGGGGGGUUGCAUUAGAGGACACGCAUUAAAACGCCAAAACAGCGAAAUAAGGACCAAGACCGCAGCACAGAGAUAAAAUCAUGACUGACACUUGGAAAAUAAAAUACAAGGGUGCAAUUCAAGAGCGGACGUGUUUGCCCGCGGUCAUUAGUGGCAUGGUCGUGUUACAUUAGAAGAGGGAAGGGAGAUGGCAGAUAUACAGUAUGUGAGGGCGGGGGGGGUCUUUGUAGUGAACGUUCUGCCCUGCGAGCAGGGCCUUGAGAGAGGGGGGACGCACCGCCAGCGUACCUCAGCACACAGAGUCCGUACUGGCCGGUAGUUUUCCGCUGCGUCGCGCCUCCUUCUCCCGCUUCUCCCUCUGCUUCUCCAGCUUCUCCUGGGCCUUGCGCAUGUCCUUCACCUUCUUCUUGAUGGUCGCCCGGUCGCUCUGGCUGCUCACGCCCAGCGCCUGUGUGGGUGGGGAGGGAGGGAGGGGGGUGGGGGUGGUGGUAGAGACAUAACGCCAUGGUUACCGACGUGUGACUUAGGAGGAUGGGCGGGGCCUCUUGACGUUUUGAGAGAGGUAAGCGGAACCAACACUAAACACAACUUACAAUGUAAUUAUAGUAAGCCGCUUUGGAUAAAAGAGUCAGCUAAAUGCCCUAAAUUAAUGUUUUAUUUUUGGCCACAGGGUGGCAGUAAAACACUGAAACAUUGAAACGAUAACUGGUCGAAUCUUUAUUUUUUAUUUGUCUUUAUUUUUUUAAUUAGCUUUCAAGAUAAAACCAACUCAUAACUAUAAUCCUUAUUUUCUCAGAUAAUCAAUUUACUUUAAUUAUUGAAGGCAUCAAUCCCUUCCCCUUCCUUAGGAAACACUUUUCCCACCUUCAACUUGUCGCUGUCCAUCUGCAUGAGCUGCUGGCCGUCCACGGCCUUGGCUGUGAACUCGGGAGUGUAUUGGUCCAUGUUCAUGCCCAUCAGCCAGUGACAGACUUGCUGAUUGGUCCAUUCAGGAACAGGGCGGUUCUGCCAUUGAUACUCCUUUCCUGUUGACACCGGUUCGUCGUCCAGUGUCUAAAAAAACACAAAAUCAUUGAAAUUGAAAACUGUUCAAUAAAAAUAACAAAAGCUGAGAGUCAACGUAAUAAAAUAGAGUCCAAAAUGUGCAGGUUGGUGACAUUUUGGAGGCUUAGUCAUUGCAAUGUCAAACUUGUUGGCAACAACAUGUGCUCAGUGAGUGAACAUGUGAAGUGUGAACCAUUAAAGUUAUGAAAACACAAAACAAGGCCAGCUGUAUGGAUAUCAAAACACGGCGAAGCAAUGAUAUCCGUUAGCUGACCGUUGAAUGAGGUAACAUCUGCGUGCAAUUACCUACAAAGCGUAAGAAAUAAAACAUGCAUGUGCCCCAGGCCGCCGAAAGAGAUUGCGUUCUACAUGCAUGUGAACCUCACAGGGAAUGAAGCAGUAACAAUAAUGUACAUUUUACUCGUCAGGGUUGGAAAACACACUUAUACACGUUAUCCUAAUUAAAAACAUCUGAAGUCUAAAAACAGCAGAUUAUUACAAUUAACUAGCACAGACUGUACUGCGUAUUUACAGUAGGUGUUGCGUAACAGAAAAUACAAAAAUAGGCACGGCUUGCCAAGAAAAAACGGAGACAGUUCGAAACCCUUCACCGGUCUAACAGAGCUAGUGAGCAAGCCAGGUGGUGGUGACAGCACGACUCCCAAAGACUAGAGGGGUUUACAGGACACUGAGGUACAGUAACAGCUGACUCACAAGGAAAACAGAGCUAGGCCAUAACAAUAAGAGCAGCACAACGCAACUAAACACACAAUCACACCCCUCCUUCAUGCACAUGCACCCUUCCAGCUUAAGUCAGGCGUUUAUUUAUAACCCGUGCGGAAGGCGGGAACCCCAGGGGGGGGCGGGCCGUGCACACUACCCCCCCGGAGACGCGAGCCCGGGGGGGGGGGCCGGGGCCGGGACAAACACUCACCUCGGUGGACGAGAAGAUUAGGGUGUGUGAGCGGCCGGACAGAUUGGGCUCAGCCACCAGCCCCGAGAGCUCAGAGCUAGGGCUGCCCGGGCUACAGUCGUCUACGACUGACACACUCUGGAACAGGUGGGGACAAUCAACAGCGCGUUAACCACACAGCCACGUCAUCAUCAGGGCCAGCCCACAUCAAUAACAACAACUACUACUACUACUACUACUACUACUACAACGAGUGGGGUGGGGAUUACGAGGGGGGAAGGAACAGUGGUGCAUGCUGGGUAAAGUACAUUUGGGUGGGAAUGAGGGUGAAGGAUUCAAACGGGUUUAGCGUGACCGCCAUUGGGGUGAUGUUAGGGUUGGUGAUUCAGGGCGGGAGAAGCGUCAGUUGACCGCACCUAAUCCAUUGCUACCAUGCUACGCUAAGUGCUACAUGUCGCUAGGCUACAACGCGAGGCGCUGGCGCCCGCAGUCCGACAGAGAGAGGGGACAUCGGCUCGUGCACGCUCCGGCCACAUGGGACGAUAGCAAACACCCAAACACACAGCAAUGCUAGUACAAUAGCAACCACUUCGAAGUCUUGAGACCCCAACUCUACUUCUAUCAGAGGGAAGCAGACAAGCUAAACACUAGGGUAUGUGGUAAUGUCCUCAAGAAACAACUGCAAAGUAGUUUUAAUUUAUUUACACAUUUUGAGCGCUUCUUUGUGGAGAGUACAACUCGACAGUGCAUCAACAAUGCACUGUCGGAGUUCAAGUUUAAUCUAUGUCCUAUAAAUGUUGUCUCAAUCACAGAUUAGUCCUAAUCCAGGCACUCCAGACAAGGCCAAUUUCUUAAUCUGACUCCCACUGAGACUGCCAUGGGCCAUCAGUUUCCAAGGCGCUUAAUCCACAAAUGAGGUUAUAUUGAGUCACAGUCACAUUACCACAUACCUGCAGCUAGUGGAAGACACACACAGGAGGUUACAAAUCACCACACUACUGGUUAGUCAUCUAGAUCAAAUCAUUUGAGUUAUAACGUGAAGAGAAAUAACGAUAUACUGUACCAAGUCUAACGAUCGACUGAAUAAAGACGACCAAGAGAGAUUUGUCUGUUUUUAAAAACGAAAAAAAAAAAAGGAGAGUUCAGAGAGACAUUUUUCCCCCCGGGAUCAUAAAUCUGUCACACUGGUGAUAUUUAACACUGAGCCGCCGUAACGAUGCGGACCAGGGAUGGAAUGAAAAGCGGUCUGAACCAUCGCCCUUAAGAUAACUUUACAGCAGACCUCGUCUAACUUUACAGUCGACCUCGUCCGCCUUAAACCGAGAGCAGGCCUUCCGACGGAACGCCGGCCAGGUUCCAGGUGCUGCGUCACCAUUCGCAGACUCAUUAAGAAGCAGCUGAAUCCGUUCCCACCUCGCUCUCCCUCUCCCCCGCCCUUUCCUGCUAUAAUGAAUUACAGAAGGACACGACUAUUUUGGUCAAAGUUGGAAGUUGAUUCAUUUUAAAGAAACAGUUGCUCCGAAUUGGGGAAACGUCUGGGCUUGGUUAAUGAGCCACCAUUCUGACUGUUUUUCUUUCUCCCUUUUGAGGCGCUGGGGGGGGAUAUUCUGUAAUUAAGGGCAGGGUAAACACUGUCUCUCUCACACAUGGCUCGCGUUGAGAGAUACGGCAGGGUGGCUAAGAAUAGUCCAGCGAGACGCAGAACACCACAACGGGGUCAACCUGCUCUCUGGAACCUGCUGUUUUCAGACGGCUGCAUAAGGACUCCAUCACUGGGGAACCUCUGGCCAGGGCCCGAGCCAAUGCCCGUUGAACCUUUCAUCUGCCUUAACUUCAUUUGCUUCAAGCGUUUAGUUGCCAAACCACGAAGCACUAACAGUUGAUUGGAAUAAUGUAAUCUACCGUCAGUUUAAUACACACAAACCUUAUUUGGCUAGGCCGCUUUGACCUGUCUGUCGGCAAAUUAAUCCAACGUGUUUAUUUCACUUUACAAUCAAUCAACAGAGACUUUGGGUUAACGACUCCGUGAAUUGAAUCCAUGAAAUGAACAACCAGAAUUGUGUGAUUGUUCUCUCAGACGUUCGUCAACGUCAUCCCGUUUCAACAGAGUCACACGCACGUCAACAAGCUAACCCCCCCGUUACAACACGCAGUAGUAGCGUGUUCUGCUGGUUCAUGGCCCGGUACAAGGCCAGAUCCUGGCCCAGGUUCAGGCCCCGGUUCUGGCCUGGUUCAGGCCCCGGUUAAGCCCCCGGUUCUGGCCUGGUUCAGGCCCCUGUUCUGACCUGGUUCAGGCCCCGGUUAAGCCCCCGGUUCUGGCCUGGUUCAGGCCCCUGUUCUGACCUGGUUCAGGCCCCGGUUCUGGCCCCGGUUCUGGCCCGGUUCUGGCCUGGUUCAGGCCCCGGUUCUGGCCUGGUUCAGGCCCCGGUUCUGGCCCGGUUCAGGCCCCAGUCUGGCCCCGGUUCUGGCCCCGGUUCUGGCCUGGUUCUGGGCCUGGUUCUGGCCUGGUUCUGGCCUGGUUCUGGCCCCGGCCCGCGGAGCGUACCUUGUUCCGGCGCUCCUGGCUCUGCUCGCUGCUGGUCUCGGUGGCGGUGUAGGGCAGGCUGCUGCUGGACGACGACGGCUCCUUGUCCCGCUCCUUGUCCCCGAACCAGUUGAAGGGCAUGCAGGUGGGGAUGGACGACAUGGACUCAGCCGGGGAGAUGGUCCCCCCGGACUGCUCCAGGAGGUCCGCCGAACCCCUGGGAGGAGGGCAGGAGACGCAGGUCAGAGGUCAGAGGUGGUUAGUCCCAGGAUAAGAUCAAAAUUGACCUUUUUGAAAAAUGAAACUCUUAUUAUAUUUGGGCGCCAGGAAAGUCAUGAGCGUACACACGCAGGCGAUAAGGAGAACCGUUUGUAUAUCAAAUAUUUUAAUUUAAUCCAAUAAUGCAUGAUGAGUACAUUUGUGAUCAUUGUGACUUUGAGUCCUGGUCCUGAAGAUGCGAAGGCUUACCUGCUCCCCAUAGACGCUCUCAUAGCCUCCUUGUCGUGUU
ensembl:lncRNA